CGGCCGAUGCCCGGUGCCGGCAGCGCGGAGCAGGUACGGCGUCGCGGGGCUGCGGGGCUUCCUCAGGCCCGGGCACGGCUCCCGGCGCUCGGACGGGAAAGGUUCGCGGCGCUCGGGGGGGCUGAGGCCGGGCAGCCCGUCCCGCGGUGCCCGCGCUGACCUCCGCUCCGCUCCGCACGGGAGCGGCACGCGGUGCUCGGCCGCCCUGCCGCCCUUCGAUGUCUGCAAUUCUGCCCCUCUGAGUCAUGUCACCCACGGGCGUUUCCCUCCGCGGAGACGCGGAGUGGCGUGAUGCAAGGCGUUUAUUUGUGUUUAUGUUUUGUUCCGCCGUCACGGUGCGUGCCUGAGAAAUGAGGGUGCCACCCGAGGCGGUGCUGACACGGGCACGGAGCUAAAUAUAGGCCGCUUGGGAAAGGGCAGGUGCUGCAGGAGGGAAGGGUGUUUGGCAAGGGCCAGGGCCUGUGAGCCGGCAGCAGUACAGAUCCCCAAAAGUUAGGCUGGUCAGCAGGAACGUAACGCACCAGGCCUGACUGCGGGUAGGGGAUGGAGCCUGAAAGCUGGGUCUAGAGAUCACUGGCUUGACGUCCCGAGGAUGCACGCCACGCAGACAGGAAGAGAAUCUCUUCUAAGUGACUCCUAGGACUGGAUAGCAGGGCAUCCCGCUGCACGUUCUUCCUGCAGCUCUGCUUAACUCUCCCAUCACAGCUCCCCUCCAGGAGCCUCUGCAGCACGUGCCCUCAGGACACCAGAGAACUUCUCUGAGCUAGUUUGCUUUCUGAAAGAGCAACUGCGUCCCUUUUGUCUCUGUGUUUGUUACAACCACUUCCCACUGGGACUAUAAACAUGUUAGUACACUUUAAUCUGAUCAGAAUUAAGUAUACGCCUGGAGAAGAUAUUAUAUAACAGCAACAUGAUAAACAAUGAUUGCAGCAGCACUAUGCAAUGCCAGUGAGUCCUUCUCAAAAUUACAGCGUAGUCAAUGCAGAUCAAACAGAUGAGAUGAGAGGGGAAUGAUUGCCAUUUGCUAAUACAAAGAACACAGAUUCCACAUUGUUUCCACAUCAUCUCAAUAUUUGUUUUGCUCCUAAGUGUUUCCUCUUCAAAAUUAGGACAUUUUCAGACACCGUCUUUUUCUUUUCCCCUCUGUAAGACAGCUAGGGCCAAGUAAUUUGAAAAGUUUUGGUUUUGACUUUUGUAAAAAGAGCUUGAAAGACUAAAGUGAAACAUAAAUUUGUACUGGAAUGCGGUUUUCAAUUUGAAAAUGUUACAAGAGUACUUUGCAAAAAAAUCGGUGUUGUUUUCAAAAACCAAGGCUUUUCCUAAGAACAGUUUUUGUGGAACUGACAUAUCUUCUUCCAAUAAAAUUAAAAAAAAAUAAAAAUAAAAAAUAGAACUGCUGAAAACCAUCCCUAUGUGCUUUUCCUGUAUCCAUUGCAGCAGGUUGCUCCGGAUUAACUUCUAUUACUGCUUUUGUGCUUCUUCUCCUACUGGUUUUAUGCUUAUGGCAGCCUAGGAACGCUAGCUUCUUCCUUUCUCUUCAUCCAAGUUGCGUGUAGUUUGUGAGUAUUUUAAACUAAAAGUUUGAAAAGCGCUGACUUGCCCUUAGUUGCUGUUGGUUUAGGCUCAAUAUGCUGAACAAAAAUAAAAAUACUCAUACUUCAAUUCUCAUGUCAAGUAGUUUUAUUUUACACUGUGAGCUUAUAGAUACAGCACCCUAUCACAAGUAUUGCUAGUGCUAACUUUAUUAUUAAAAGCUGAAAUUGCAGCCUGAGACUUGUUUUUGUGUGGAUUUAUGAUCCAGUGGGGAUAUCUGCUGCAUAGAAAUUCACUCACUGCUCCUUCCUUCAUGUCUGAGGUCUGUUCUGUGACUGCGCAGGAUGGAAACAACUUUUUUAGUGCAAAGUUUCUACUUCCAUUCAUAGUGUGCAAAAUGAAAUUUAGCUAAAAGUUAAGGCUUUAAGCUUACACAGAUGACUAAUUUAGAGGUUCAUUAAGUGCUUAUAAUGUUAAUUCUUGGUAGGUCAAAGCCAGAAACAAGACAGAUGGGUGGAGGACAGAUUAACAUAGGAAGAAGUAGCUGCCCUAUUGCUUAAACAGAUCAUCUCAGCUAUCUCGCCUGCAGAUCUUCUGUAUCUUCUGUUGGUCCUGCAGCCAAGUAACGGUUUGUGUGGGGAGGAAUGGGUUCGCUCUUGAACAUUCGGAGUUUUUGUGUUACAACAGCCUUACACACAUUUUCUGCCAAUGUCAACCACAUGCAACUAUGAGGUAUAAGGGCCCUCAGAACGACCUAUAUGGAACAGAGAAGAAAUCAAUAAAGCAGCCAUUUACUUUUUUUUUUCUUUUUUUCCUGAGGUCAUAGCAGUCCUCCUCUGAUUUCAGAUAUCACUGAUAUCACUAAAUAUGUUCACCUGAAUGAGACGUUACCAUCUUUCCAUCAGCAUGAUAGGCACCAGCAAAACAGGCAUCCAAAGAGCGAAGUACAGGGCAGAUUUGAACUGAGCGCGUGGAGGAUUCUGCCAGAAGUAGUUCUGCCAAAUGCAGAAUCUUAUUCAAAAUCACUGAAAGAACAACAAAGCUCAGGACACCCAGGUUUGGAAGCAGGCAAUGAAACCUUCAAUGCCCAUACUUAAACAUGAGGGGAGAGAAGACAUACUGCCUUACUGCACUAAGAUGCCCCAGCAAGCUGCAUGCCUGAAACUCCAUUAUGGAUUUUUGCAUCUGAAUGCUUCCACAGGAUAAAAUGAGGAAUGAAACUGUUGGCUUAGAGGCAGCAAAGGAAAUCUGGAAAAUGUGGGCAACACCAUUUACCUGCAUUACAAGUAUCACUUUUACAAGGCUUUGAAGACAUGGUACAGUUCAGUCUAAUAACUGAUGAUUACUUUAAACAGAGCACAGGCCCAUCAAGCAGAAAUAAAUAUUUUAAAACAAAUUAACUGUUUAGUUUUAACCAAUUUAUCAUAGGUGUUUCUAUUGGUAAGUCAUUGGUAGAGGACUGAGAAGAUGCCUGGAACUUAGGGCUCCUCACCUGCCUGGCAAUGAUUUCUAGCUGCUUGCGUAUAAUGCACAGUGUGUGGCUCAGAUUUUCCCAGUCAAGGUUCAUUUGGAGCUGAUUUGUUUGCAUUGCAGUGCUUUAUAAAUAGCAGGCAUCCCCUUUCCCAGAAUGCUAUUCUAUCAAAGUAGGGAAAAGAAGGGAGAAAAGAAAGGGGGAAGCUCGCCAAGCAGCAACAAAGGAGCAUGCAGAGCCACUGAGGGGCUUCAGGCACUGCUGUGCAUGCAGCAAAGAGGAGAAAUUACUCAAAGAAAUGUACAAUCCUGCACACUUUGAAACAAUUACAUGCACACAAAUUACAGCAUGCUUUCUGUCCACACAAACAAAUUACAGUGCAUUUGCUGUCAUCUCCAUAUUAUUCCAUGCAGCCAAAGAUAGCAUUGCUCCUCUGAAUUGUAAUUUGUAUUACAGUACAGCUCCUGUUUUACAUAUGCAUAGCUGCUUCAUCCCACUUCACUAAUUCCACAGCCAUAUCUCAGAGUAGUUUUUGUCCCCCAUCCAGGAAAGCCCACAACUUGGAUUUCUCUUGCUUUCAGCAGUAAGUGUAGCAGUCCUGGUGGGGAUGAGGAGCAAAGCAGGACAGCACACUGCAGUAAGGGGGCAGCUGCACUUGUAAGAGAUUUUUUUAAAGGCCAAUGACCUUCCCACAUUUGGGCAGAUCUCUCCUCUAUCUGUCAUGAGGACAAUGGUAAUUUCUAAGCAGAUAACAAAUCUGCACAGAAGCUUGGGCUGCACACAUUGACUGGUUGGUUCUGAUCCUGGAGCUGAGCACCAGCUAUUUAUCUUGCUUCUUGGACAGCUUUCACAAUCUUUGUCAAGUUCUUUGUUGCUUCAACUGAACUGCUUGAUCUGGAUGGGGCAGGACUAGUUCAAGUGCACUACAGAGAGGUGCAAAUAAAAAUUCUUACUCUAAAAAAAAUAGCCUUUCAACAAAUCAUUUGUCUUAAAAUAAAAGAGAGACAUUUAAUCCCUAGCCUCAUUCAAAGAGCA